GGAGAGGUAGCUCAGUGAGUAGAGCAUUAGCUGCUCUUCCAGAGGACCUGGGUUCAAUUCCUAGUAUCUACG
rnacentral:tRNA from 1 species